AGAAGGUUCGAUUAUAUCUUCAGAUUGAACGCUGGCGGGAUGCUACACAUGCAAGUCGAACAGCUGGACUUCGGUCUGGUGGCGAGUGGCAGCGGGUGAUAAUGUAUCGGAACGUGCCUAGUAGCGGGGGAUAACUACGCGAAAGCGUAGCUAAUACCGCAUACGCCCUUCGAGGAAAGCGGGGACCUUUCGGGCCUGCACUGUGGAAACGGCCGAUAUCGGAUUCGCCAGUUGGUGGGGUAACGGCUCACCAAAGGCGACGAUCCGUAGCUGGUUUGAGAGGACGACCAGCCACACUGGGACUGGCCACGGCCCAGACUCCUGCAGGAGGCAGCAGUGGGGAAUUUUGGACAAUGGGGAAACCUGAUCAGCCAUCCCGCGUGUACGUGAAACGCCGGGUUGUAACGAAAGCACUUUUAACCCAGAAGAAACGGCACGGGAUAAUACCCGUGCAACUGACUGACUUACCUGCAGGUCAAGCCUGGCUAACUACGUGCCCAGCAGCCGCGGUAAUACGUGAGUGCCGGCGUUAAUCGGAAUUACUGGGCGUAGCGUGCGCGAACAGCGUUCGAAAAAAUCAUAAAAUCAAGCCGCUUUGGAACUGCAUUUUUACUACCGAGCUAGAAUGGCCAGCCAGAGGUGGAAUUCCGCGUGUAGCAGUGAAAUGCGUAGAUAUGCGGAGGAACACCAAAUGGCGAGAGCGGCCUCUACAGGAUAACACUGUGGCACUGUGCACAGCGUGGGGAGCAAACAGGAUUAGAUACCCUGGUAGUCCCGCCCUAAACGAUGUCAACUAGCUGUGAGCCUUCAGCGGUGUGGCCCGCAAUAUGCGCAGUGAGAUUGACCGCCUGCCAGAGAUACGGUCGCAAGAUUAAACCAGAAAGGAAUUGGCGCGGGGACCCGCACAAGCGGUGGAUGAUGUGGAUUAAUUCGAUGCAACCGCGAAAAACCUUACCCUUACUGACAUGUCUGGAGAUCCCGAAGAUUUGAGGUGCUCGCAAAGGAGCAGACUUACCAGGUGCUUUUGCAUGGCUGUCGUCAGCUCCGUAUGUGAGAUGUUGGGUUAAGUCCCGCAACGAGCAACCCUUGUCAUUAGUUGCUACGAAAGGGCACUCCUAAUGAGACUGCCGGUGACAAACGGAGGAAAGUGGGGAUGACGUCAAGUCCUCAUGGCCCUUAUGGGCAGGGCUUCACAGGAAGCCAUACAAUGGUCCAGGACAGAGAGAUUGCCCAACCGCGAGGGGAGCCAAUCCCAGAAACCCGAUCGUAGUCCGGGAUCGCAGUCUGCAACUCAGCUGCGUGAAGUCGGAAUCGCUAGUAAUCUCGCAGGAUCGCCUGUCGCAGUGAAUACGUUCGGUCUUGCACACGCCCGUCUUUUUGCAUGCGGAUCGGUUCACCAGAAGUAGUUAGCCUAACCGUAAGGGCGAUUACCACGGUAAGUUCAUGACUGGGAGUGAAGUCAUGGGUAA
rnacentral:rRNA from 1 species